rnacentral:rRNA from 1 species
UUUAACGGCCGCGGUAUUUUGACCGUGCAAAGGUAGCGCAAUCACUUGUUCUUUAAAUAAGGACCUGUAUGAAAGGCAAAACGAGGGCUUUACUGUCUCCCCGCUCAAGUCAGUGAAAUUGAUCUGCCCGUGCAGAAGCGGACAUACAACUACAAGACGAGAAGACCCUUUGGAGCUUUAGAUACAAGUCAUCUAUGUCAAUAACACUGCCCCCCCAGCUAAAACUAAAUAGAACUGACCCAUAUCUUCGGUUGGGGCGACCACGGGGAAAAAUAAAACCCCCAUGUAGAAAAGAGGCAAAGCCCUUACAACUAAGAGGAACCCCUCUAAGUCACAGAACUUCUGACUAACAGAUCCGGCCAUCCGCCGAUCAACGGACCAAGUUACCCAAGGGAUAACAGCGCAAUCCUCUUUAAGAGUCCCCAUCGACAAGAGGGUUUACGACCUCGAUGUUGGAUCAGGACAUCCUAAUGGUGCAACCGCUAUUAAGGGUUCGUUUGUUCAACGAUUAAAGUCCUAC